UGUGACAACCCUCCCUGAUCUCUCUCUCCUCCCUCCUGCUGUGGGCAGGGUCGUCAGGGAGCAUUGACUCCACCUGGGCUCUGGGGGCGGGGGUGUGGGACUUUUCAUUUUAAGAUCUCAGUGGCAGAGAUCUUUCUCCCUCCCUGCAGCAGCUCAGGUUUGGUUUGUGUUGGUUUUGUAUUUGGGUUAUUUGUUUCCUUUACAGUAGACUGGACUGUUAUUAUUAUUUCUUUUGUUCUUUGUUUCAGAAAUACUUUUGAAUAUUGAUUUGGUGUGCAUCUCCCUUUGUUGCCAUAGCUGUGCAGCCCAGGUCAUGACAAAUGAGGGCUCGUCCGAUUGUAAGUUAUGUUUGGGGGCUGUUGUGUGAUGGUUUUUGGGAGAUGCAUUUUGUUUUUGAAGUAGUAAUUUGAUUGUUUGGUUUGGGAGAACUGUUUGUCCUGCAGUCUCAUGUUUUGGUGUGAGUGGGCAGGUGGGAGCCAUCAGCAGUGACUGCAGAGUCUUCUGAUGAGGUGAGUGUGAAGUUUCCCCUGGUUAGGCUUAGCAGUGUGGUCCAUUUGGGCUCACUGUGUGUUUUUUGUUUUAGUCUGUUGUUUUUGUGUGGUGUGCGGUUAGAGCAUUGGUCUCGGGGUCACAUCCACAGCUGUCAGGUGAGUGACCAGCAUGCUGGGGACUUAACCGGGUUGUUGGUUUGAGUGAUUAAAUAUCCCACCGCUAAUCUGCAUGAAGAUUAGGUACAGUGAGUUAGAAUAGCUUCUGGACAGGCAGUUAGGGGGGGACUUCACAUUAAAUUGGGGUAUUUGUCUCAUUCUCACAUCGGAUGACUUUCUGCAUUGCUGUUUGAGGGUUCUGUUGGUUGUUAGUUCUCCUGUUGGUUUCAGGGUUUGGCCUGAAUUAGUCCCAGAGGCAUUUGGAUCGCGGUAUGGGAAAACUUUAACAACUACUUUAAAAUGAUUUUUUUCUUUCUACCAAAAAACAAAACAAAAAGUGAACUAUAGUAUUUAUUUUAGAAAAUGACACUACUUCAGAGGUUCAGCCUCCUACUUCUUCUAUUCCUUCUGACCAACAAUCCGUAUUUCCCGAUAAGUGAAUUAACUUUUUUUUGUUUUUGUUUAGCAACAAGUGUCUUUUCUACGUGUAACUUCUCAAAAAUACAAGUUCAUUGCUGCACUCAUAUUAUUGCUAUUAAUAGUUUUCUAUUAAGUCAAUAUUUUCCUACCAUUAAGAAUUUACAGGGAUGCACAUUUUAGAAACUUGCCAGUAAUGUUAACAUGUCAUGUGAUUUGAAAACAGUGUUUUUCUGUGACAUUUUUGGUGCUUUUGGGAUGUUGUAUGUAUCCAGGAUUUUGUUUUGUUUUCUACACUGAAUGUCUUUUCAUUUCUUGAAGAGACUUCUGACAAGUUUGAGGGCAUCCAACUCACACAGUCAGCUCAUGGUGGGUCUAUUUGCUCUUUAUUUUCUGACUUUUUCAGUAAACUGAGAUUUAACUUUUUUUUUUCUUCCCCCUUGUCUCCAAACUGGCAUAUAGAUUUUCUAGAUGGGGCUACCCGGCUGGCUAUUAGACGGUGACGCAGGAGCCACUUCGAGCACUCCCUCAUCAACGAGUCGUUCGUGCGAAUCGCCUGCAGUUCAUACAACGCAAUUGCUAUACUUGCACGGAAACGCCCAUCACCGAACUUUUGUCAAGAGAAUCUGCCGGCACUACACAUGGAGCAUCGGAGCCUGGGCCUUCAGUUUCACCCCAUCUGGAGGUCUGUGGCAGAGCUACCUAGGCCAAAAAAACCCUGCGUCCGUCAUCAAGCUGUGGAACAAAGAAGCUGUGGGACACAAACCGCCGCGUGAGAAGUGCAGCUGGAAGCACAAGCAGAUCAAGAACAACUUGGUGGCAGAGACAACAGGGGAAGGAGACGACUGCAGACAACCUUAAGAGGCUGGAAAGGUUCGAGCUGUUUCAACAAGUUUUGAUCUCUGUGUGGGCUUUCUGUAAAAAGUGUGGUGUGACAUUUAAAAUAGUGAAAUGGAUGAAGGUAACUUUAGUCUUUUUAGAGUCUGAUUUAAAGCUAGCAGUUGAGCAAUUGAAUCAAAUCUCCCCACCUCCUCCUGUAGAUGUAGCUGUUGCUAAUGUAGGUGAAAAUUCCUCAGCAGCCGAACCAUCAUCGACUGCUGAUAACUAUUUUCAAUCUUUAGAAGAUGCUCUGUUGCGUCUAAAUCAGAACCCAUCUUCCUCUGAUGUUCUCCAACAGGUUAACCAGACCGCCUACUGCUCACGGUCAAAUAAAAAACAAGUUCCCCCUCUUUCCCCCCACCUGCUCCUACCCCCUCUUUCCCACAGCAUUCGGCUUCAUUUCAAACUCCAAAUUUAGAGGAAGUCGGUAGAAAUGUCCAGCAUGGUGGUGGAAAUGUGAGCGGUCAGGCUGACACCCCCCCAGGCCGUCCAUCUCCUCAAACAUGGCGACCGUAUCCUGCGACUGGUUCAACAAUCUGGAGCUGAGACAAGUGUUCACCGUUCCCCCUGACAGGAACAUACUGGAUCUUGCUCAGUUUUAUGAUGUGAUGUUGAUCCUUAGAGAUAUGGCUGAUGCCGUCAGAGCACAGGUUAGGCGUAAUGAUGUGAUACAGCUAGAGGUGAUUGGUGAGAAUGUUCAGAAUCAUGUCUCUGUGGCUGAGGAUGAGCAUGGUGAUGCUAUCCUUCCUGCUUUUGAGGGCUUGCUCGAGCAGUUGGUGCAAUCUAACGGCGAGAUAGCAUCAGAUGCUAGGUUAGAAUUAGUGGUUCAGGUUGUGCAUGAUCCUAGAGGCAGUGUGAAAUGCAAGCUGGAAAAAACUUUAGACUGUGAAAUAAUAUGUAUUAAAAGACAGCAUGUCUACAUUGUAGACAACAGGAAUGGUCACCUCUGCUUUGCCAUCAACUUGGACAACAUGUGAUCGAUCCUCUAGUCACAGAUAAUCAGGUUUUAGAACGAGGAAGAGUUUCAGAGACUUGCUGGUCUAAACUCUCAGACCCCAGUCACCUUUACUGAUGUGUUCAAAUUUGAAAAGCCUGAACUGUAAAUUUUUUUUUUUUUUUUUUUUUUUUUUUUUAAUGACUUUGAAACGUUUGUUGUUCAGCAGGACAUGCACAAACCUUUUCUUGUCUGCAGCAAAACAUUGAGUGGCAUGCAGUGGUCGUCCUAUGGUUUGAACUGUGUCAGGGACUUUCUCCUGCAUUUCAGGAGGUCGAUGUACCAGAACUGUGUUUGUGGCUCUCAAUGCUAAAGGUUAUGACAGCUAUUUGAUCCUCAACACAAUGAUAGAGAUGGGAUUGCAGGGCAGUAAAAUUCUGUUUCCAAUUAUAAUUUAAAAUUCAACAUUUUCUUUCCUCACAAUGCAUCUCACCGCCAUGCCCAAGGCGUCAGACCAAGGGUCAUUUCCUUCAGUUUCAGUUCAAAGAAGAAUUUGCAGUAUGUCGGAGCUUACCCUCCGCCGCAUGGAGCGUAUGACUCCUGCUCAUCAGCAAGAGUUUUACAGCUGGUACAGAUAGGCAAGUCAGGGUAUGUUUCACUUUGAGAGGGAAGCUCCGCGGUACUGUGAAAAUGAAGUUGACAUUCUUGCCAAGGGCUGUAUCGAGUUCAGAAAUCAGUUCCUCAGUGAGACAGGCAUAGACCCUUUCAGUUACAUCACCAUUGCCUCGGCAUACAUGAAGGUAUUUCUUAGAAAUUUCCUCUCUCCUAAAAACCCUGGCUAUACCUUCGCCAGAUAACUACAGGUGCCAGACCAAAAGCUACUUCCACGUCUCCAUCCAAUGGUUGGAGUGAAUAGCAUGAGGCAAUAAUGUUUUUAUCCAGCAUGCAUUAAACAAGGGGGAGAAACCGGUAGGACCUUACUUUGUUGACUGUUAUGCUGAAAUAGACGGUGUUGCUUACGCUUGGUAGUUUCUGGCGUGCUUUUACCACGGUUGCCCGUCGUGUUUUAACCCCCACAACACUUGCCCUCGGGGCACAUCCCCUUUGAGGAGCUGUAUGCUGCUAGUGAGGAGAAAAUGCAGGCUUUGAAAUGUGUUCACGGUGUUCAGAUGGUUGUCAUGUGGGAACAUGACUAGCUGGCUAUGAAAAAAGCGUAAAAGCUUUUCUAGGGAGCUUCCUCCCUCCCGAACCUCUGUGCCCCCGCGACGCUCUCUUUGGCGGUAGAACGAGCGCUGUGAGGCUGAGGUACAUGGCCAGGCCUAACGAGACCGUGCACUAUGUAGACGUCACUUCUCUGUAUCCAUAUGUGAACUGUAGCUUUUCCUACCCACUAGGUCACCCCGCCAUCAUCCACAAAGACUUUGAUGCCCCUCAAAACUACUUUGGGUUCAUCAAAGCCACCAUCCACCCUGCAAGAGGGCUUGUUCCCAUGUUACCUUACAAAACAUCUCAAGGUAAAUUGGUGUUCACCCUUUGCCAUACCUGUGCUGAAAUCUACAAUCAGACAGGUCCGUGCAGACACGACGAGCAGGCUACAGCAUUGAGGGGAGUGUGGGUCAGCAUUAAAGUGAACAAGGCUCUUGAGGUUGGUUAUAGGGUAGGCAAGAUCAUUGAAGUGCGGCACUUUGACCGGUGUAGCGAUUCCAUUUUUCUCAGCGACAUGCACACCUUCCUAAAAGGUAAGCAGGAAGCUUCAGGCUACUCACCCAAGGCCACUGAUCAGGAAAGCAGAAAAGUACAUCAGGGACUAUGAGCUGCAUCAAGGCGUGCACCUAGAUGCUGACAAGAUUAAGGUGAACCCUGCAAAGAGACAGGUGGCUAAAUUUUGUCUCAACAGCUUCUGGGGAAAAUUUGCACAGAGAAGCAAUCUGCCUCAGACCACCCUGGUCAGCGAUCCUGAAGAAUUUCUCCGUUUCAUGUUUUUUGGUCAGUACAAAGUGAAAUACUUUAGUUUUCUGAAUGACCAAACCGCUAUGAUUCAGUGGAAUUACCACGAGCGGUGCAUCAUGCCUCCAUGUAGAGCUAAUAAUGUGUUCAUCGCUGCAUUCACUACUGCUUAUGCCCAUCUCAAGCUGUACAGCUAUCUAGAGCAGGUGCAAGAAAAUGUUCUCUACAUGGAUACUGACAGUCUGAUAUGUGGUGAAAGAAGGGGAACGCCUCUGAAAUUAGAAUUAUCUGGGGGAUUUGACCGAUGAGCUGGACGGUGACACCAUUCAGAAAUUUGCAGCCACUGGUCCCAAAAGUUACGCCUACCAGACUAGACAAAAGAAAAAAAGUAGUAGUGCAUGUCAAUGGUAUCACCCAGACUAGAGAAUGCUGUGAGCAGGUCAACUUUGACAGCAUCAGAGAGUUGGUGAAGGGCUACCUCGAGGGGGCGAUUGAGACCCCUCAGCAUAACACCGGAUGUAAUAAGAAGGGCUUUCUCUUGAAAAACUGCACAUUUCAAAAAGUUUGAGUGGUGUAUGACAAGAGACGUCUCUUUAGCGACGGGACAACUCUGCCUUUUGGCUACUGAAAUAGGAGGAGAGCAAUACACAAAAAGGAAAAACAAAAUAAACAAAUGUCACACUUUGCUAGCAUGGAGGAAGUUAACUUUGAUCCCAGACUUGCAGCACCCUUUUCAUGUAUGAUUGUGGGUAUGGGGAAAAGGUAUUUUGUAAAAUGUCAUUAAAAAUUGUGAACAUGUGAUGAAUCUUGUACCUGAGAACAUUUGUAUUGAUUGAUACUACUACUACUUUUCAACCAAUGUAUGAUGAACUGCAAAAGAUGAAUAAAAAGAUUAAG